AUGCAACCUGCCCGCCACAGGGGGAAGCCCGCCGAAAGGCGGAUUAAUACCCCAUGGGCCUCGGCCCCCGCAUGGGGCGCCGGGGUAAAGGAGCGAUCCGGUGGCGGAUGGGCAUGCGUGCCAUUAGCUGGCUGGCGGGGUAACGGCCCACCAGGGCGACGAUGGCUAGGGGGCCUGAGAGGGUGGUCCCCCACACUGGUACUGAGACACGGACCAGACUCCUACGGGAGGCAGCAGUGAGGAAUAUUGGUCAAUGGGCGGAAGCCUGAACCAGCCAUGCCGCGUGCAGGAAGACGGCCCUACGGGUUGUAAACUGCUUUUCCGGGGGAAGAAUAAUCCCGACGAGUCGGGAGAUGCCGGUACCCCGGGAAUAAGGAUCGGCUAACUCCGUGCCAGCAGCCGCGGUAAUACGGAGGAUCCGAGCGUUAUCCGGAUUUACUGGGUUUAAAGGGUGCGUAGGCGGGCGCUUAAGUCAGCGGUGAAAGGCGGCGGCUCAACCGUCGGACGGCCGUUGAUACUGGGCGCCUUGGAUGCGGUCGAGGCGGGU
rnacentral:rRNA from 1 species